rnacentral:misc_RNA from 1 species
AGUCGUAACAAGGUUUCCGUAGGUGAACCUGCGGAAGGAUCAUUAUUGGAUGGAUGAGGAGUGAGCAUGUGCGUGAGCACAGACGAGCUUCUCGGCCAGGGGGCAGUGAUGGUUGCGCAGUAAUGUGCAAACGCACUGCCUGAAACUUGCCCUCGCGAGAGGGUGGGCAUUGUGACAUUUUUUUUGACUUUAUCAACCAAAUAUAAAUUACUUUUAACAACGGAUCUCUGGGCUCCC